UUGGGCCGGCCUGCCCGAGAGAUGAUUGUUAGGCGAGCUUUGUUUGUAGUUGACAGCCGUCACUCUGAAAUAUUACAAAACUUCUAAAGUUUAAAUCUUAAGCAAAUUUGUCAUAUCCGACGUCUAUAUAUGGCUCAGUUUAUGAUGUAUACUAUGUUGUCAUAAUAAGUUAAACUAAUGCUCAAUGUGUAUAAGCUUAUUUUGGUGCAGUGUAGUUUGUGUUGAAGUUUUUGUUUCGCUCGCCAUGGUCGACCAUCGGGAUAGAUUUUUCAUUUUGAAUCUGCAUUUCAAUUAUCCCAAAUAUUUUAUCAGCAACGAUUCCUCUUCUGUGAACAUAAACAGUGACUGGGUUGAGCAGCUGCUUUAGUUUUCCGGUCCGCAAUCAGCCGAAACCAAGAAUUUUCAAAACAACGUUGAUUCCCCGUUAUUAUGCACCAUUUCGUCGUUUCAACAGCAGCACCAUGCGGGAUCAAACCCAUGAAAAGCCUUGGAUGCAUAGGACUCAACCGAUAUUACCCGAAAAGUUAACAAAAAUGAUUGCGGAUGAUAAAGCUCGGAUUGAUCGAAUAGUGGUUCCCGACGGAUAUCUACACUCUUCAGGGAAUUGGAAGCAGACAACAGAUGCCAUAGUAAACCACUACCAGCAACAGCAAACUAAAGGCAUUCAUCCGCUGGGUAAAGCAUACGGCGAGAGAGAGAAACUAAUGUUCCGAUCCCGAAACACAAUGCUGUUAUGUAAUGCAUAAAUCUUGUCAUUAGUGUUUACACAAACAUUCUUAUAUUGAAAUAAAGAUCGGUUUUUGUUAUA
rnacentral:lncRNA from 1 species